CCUGAAGAAAAAGCAUCGGCUAACUCCGUGCCAGCAGCCGCGGUAAUACGAAGGAUGCAAGUGUUAUCCGGAAUCAUUGGGCGUAAAGGGUCCGCAGGUGGCCAAUCAAGUCGGCUGUUAAAGACCGGGGCUUAACUCCGGGCAGGCAGUGGAAACUGAUUAGCUAGAGUACGGUAGGGGUAGAGGGAAUUCCCAGUGUAGCGGUGAAAUGCGUAGAUAUUGGGAAGAACACCGGUGGCGAAAGCGCUCUACUAGGCCGAAACUGACACUGAGGGACGAAAGCUAGGGUAGCGAAAGGGAUUAGAUACCCCUGUAGUCUUAGCUGUAAACGAUGGAUACUAGGUGUAGCUCGUAUCGACCCCAGCUGUGCCGAAGCUAACGCGAUAAGUAUCCCGCCUGGGGAGUACGCACGCAAGUGUGAAACUCAAAGGAAUUGACGGGGGCCCGCACAAGCGGUGGAGUAUGUGGUUUAAUUCGAUGCAACGCGAAGAACCUUACCAGGGCUUGACAUGUCGCGAAUCUAGCGGAAACGUUAGAGUGCCUUAGGGAAUGCGAACACAGGUGGUGCAUGGCUGUCGUCAGCUCGUGUCGUGAGAUGUUGGGUUAAGUCCCGCAACGAGCGCAACCCUCGUCCUUAGUUGCCAAUAUUAAGUUAGGCACUCUAGGGAUACUGCCGGGGACAACUCGGAGGAAGGUGGGGGUGACGUCAAGUCAGCAUGCCCCUUACGUCCUGGGCGACACACGUACUACAAUGGUUGGGACAAAGGGCAGCAAGCUCGCGAGAGUAAGCGAAUCUCAUCAAACCCAGCCACAGUUCGGAUUGCAGGCUGCAACUCGCCUGCAUGAAGUAGGAAUCGCUGGUAAUCGCAGGUCAGCAUACUGCGGUGAAUUCGUUCCCGGGCCUUGUACACACCGCCCGUCACACCAUGGAAGCUGGCUACGCCCGAAGUCGUUACCCUAAUCCUAAGGGGAGGGGGAUGCCGAAGGUAGAGCUAGUGACUGGGGUGAAGUCGUAACAAGGUAGCCGUACCUGAAGGUGUGGCUGGAUCACCUCCUUU
rnacentral:rRNA from 1 species